rnacentral:rRNA from 1 species
UCUGACUAAAUCCAGAAGUGACGGGCAAUUUGUGCAUGUAGAAGUUUCCUUUCACCCCUAACUUUAUCUUUCAUUCAGGUUAUUAUUAGGUCCACUAUAUUUCUUUUUAUUCCACAUUUCAAGUAGUUUUUAGCAAUGUGUUUCGCUUCAUUCCUUUUUAUUACUCUUGUCUUGAUUUGUAAUUUCAUUUUUCAAUGGUGGGAAGAUUCCUUUAAGAACCAGCUUAAGACAAUGAUAUAAGAAGUUAUAAAAAAAGGUCCCUUUAAUCGUGGGGUAUCUAUUAUUGAGUAAAACCCCCUAAAGAAUUCUACACCGCCAUUACAUUUAGGUUUCUCUUAUCUAGGUACUAUCCUUUUUAGUUUAGGA